UUGGAGGGCAAGUCUGGUGCCAGCAGCCGCGGUAAUUCCAGCUCCAAUAGCGUAUAUUAAAGUUGUUGCAGUUAAAAAGCUCGUAGUUGAAUUUUGGGAUCAAUAUAUCGGUCGUGCCAUUGGUACGUACUGGUAUCAUUGGUUUCUCCUUUCUGACGAACCAUGAUGUCAUUAAUUUGGUGUUAUGGGAAGUUAGGACUGUUACUUUGAAAAAAUUAGAGUGUUUAAAGCAGGCUUUAGCUUGAAUACAUUAGCAUGGAAUAAUGAAAUAGGACGUUCGAACCUAUUUUGUUGGUUUCUAGGAUCAACGUAAUGAUUAAUAGGGAUAGUUGGGGGCAUUAGUAUUCAAUUGUCAGAGGUGAAAUUCUUGGAUUUAUUGAAGACUAACUACUGCGAAAGCAUUUGCCGAGGAUGUUUUCAUUAAUCAAGAACGAAAGUUAGGGGAUCGAAGACGAUCAGAUACCGUCGUAGUCUUAACCAUAAACUAGCCGACUAGGG
rnacentral:rRNA from 1 species